CUGACGCGAAAAUGCUGCGUGAAAUCGCUGCGGUCGGCAGCCGCCCUCCCUGGGGAGCAGCUUCCCUGGAGCGCAGCGCAGCGGUCACGAGGGCUGCAGCUCUGCCCCAGGGAAGCGUUUGGGAGGUUUCAGCGUUUCCUCCCGUCUGGGGCUCGGACAGACACGCUUUCCUGGGCUCCAGGGGUCUCACCUGGCUGGGUACAAGAUCAUCAAGGACUCCUGUUAACCAUGAGUUGCCUUCCACCCAAAGGCAUAGAGGAUGGCGCCAAUUCGACAUGGCUCCCGCUGCCCCAGGAACCCAGCUUUUGAGACACCACAAUGGGACCAGUGACAGUCUUCACUGCAGUGACCAGGACUUUGGAAGAGCCAGAGGUUUCCCCGUGUGCCGGGGUUUGUGCCCAGCCCACUAGUUUGAAGAUCUGAGUGCGGUUUAUGUGCCUACCCGUGCCAGGCACAGAUGGCAAGGGGCGCCCCAAGGAACGGAGGCAAAGGGCGAGAGAGAAAUUAUCUCCGGCUCGCAAAGGGGAAACUGAGGCAAGGAAGCAACUUAGCAAAGAUCUUUCACUGGAUCCUGAAUGGCGCCUGUUAUAUUUUUCUGCAAAGAUCCCUCAGAGCUGGGCCUGCCUUGAUUUGCUUUAGUGAAGUGUUUAGCACCGUUCUGGGGAACGUGAAAAUAAUAAUAAUUAUUAAUCAUAAUAAAAUGCAAUGAUCUGAUGACUCA
rnacentral:lncRNA from 1 species